rnacentral:rRNA from 1 species
UACAGAGGGUGCGAGCGUUGUUCGGAAUUAUUGGGCGUAAAGGGCGCGUAGGCGGUGCGGUAAGUCACCUGUGAAAUCUCCUGGCUCAACUGGGAGCUUGCAGGCGAAACUGCCGUGCUGGAGUGUGGGAGAGGUGAGUGGAAUUCCCGGUGUAGCGGUGAAAUGCGUAGAUAGUCGGGAGGAACACCUGUGGCGAAAGCGGCUCACUGGACCACAACUGACGCUGAGGCGCGAAAGCUAGGGGAGCAAACAGG